rnacentral:sRNA from 1 species
CUUGCACCAGGCUGUCAGUGUGAAUGAUGAAGAUUUGCUGGUCCGAAUACUUCAAGGAGGCCGUGUUAAGGUUGAUGUUCCCAAUAAGUUUGGCUUUACCGCUCUGAUGGUUGCUGCCCAGAAAGGAUACACCAGGCUUGUGAAAAUCCUAGUUUCUAAUGGCACAGACGUGAAUCUGAAGAAUGGAAGUGGCAAGGACAGUCUAAUGCUGGCGUGCUAUGCGGGACACCUAGAUGUUGUGAAAUAUCUCCGAAGACAUGGCGCUUCUUGGCAGGCUAGAGACCUGGGAGGCUGUACAGCUCUGCACUGGGCUGCAGAUGGAGGCCACUGCAGUGUGAUUGAGUGGAUGAUAAAGGAUGGCUGUGAGGUGGCUCACCUGAUGCUUCUGAAGCCCAUGGGAAGGACUUGAGAGCCAAUCACCACCUUCUUCCCAAAUGUAGACGUCGUGGACACUGGUUCAGGAUGGACCCCACUCAUGAGAGUCUCUGCGGUGUCGGGAAAUCAGAGGGUGGCCUCUCUUCUAAUUGAUGCUGGGGCCAAUGUGAAUGUGAAGGACAGAAAUGGAAAGACGCCCCUUAUGGUGGCUGUGUUAAAUAAUCAUGAAGAGUUAGUUCAGUUACUUCUUGACAGAGGGGCAGAUGCAAGUGUAAAAAAUGAGGUAAAUGAGUCCAUCUUUAUGUAAAGAUUUUCCUCAGAGGGGGAGAAAACAUUUAUAAGCAUGUAAAAUUUUUGUUGUUUCCUGUUUCAGUUCGGCAAAGGUGUCCUAGAAAUGGCCAGAGUUUUUGACAGACAGGUUGGGAUGCUUUUUCUGCCUAUCAAGGCUAAUUUUUAGUCCUUCUAGACUCAGAAAAACCACCAAAACCCUGGAUUACAUUUGCCUGUCUGUUUUGUUUAUCUAGAGUGUAGUCUCCUUAUUAGAAGAAAGGAAAAAAAAGCAGAGGCCAAAGAAGUCUUGUGUCUGCUGAUGAGAGCACCACUCAUCUGCGAAACGCACGUAAAACAAAGUGAACCGUGACUGUUAAACUAGGGAUGGGAAAUUCUGCAUCUUGGGGGGCUGUACAUUUAUUUAUUUAGUUGAAGAUUCACUGAUCCCACUUUGAAAUACAUCUUUUUACCUAA